rnacentral:rRNA from 1 species
GACGAACCGUGCGAACGUUGUUCGGAAUCAUUGGGCGUAAAGCGCACGUAGGCGGACCGCUAAGUCGGAUGUGAAAGCCCUCGGCUUAACCGAGGAAGUGCAUUCGAAACUGACGGUCUUGAGUAUGGAAGAGGGUCGCGGAAUUCCCGGUGUAGAGGUGGAAUUCGUAGAUAUCGGGAGGAACACCAGUGGCGAAGGCGGCGACCUGGGCCAAUACUGACGCUGAGGUGCGAAAGCGUGGGGAGCAAACAGG